rnacentral:rRNA from 1 species
GACGAACGCUGGCGGCGUGCUUAACACAUGCAAGUCGAACGGUGAAGCGCCUUCCUUUUUGGUGGGUGUGGAUGAGUGGCGAACGGGUGAGUAACACGUGAGUAACCUGCCCCCUUCUUCUGGAUAACCGCAUGAAAGUGUGGCUAAUACGGGAUAUUCUGGGUCUGUCGCAUGAUUGGUCUGGGAAAGAUCUUGUUUCGGUGGGGGAUGGGCUCGCGGCCUAUCAGCUUGUUGGUGGGGUGAUGGCCUACCAAGGCGGUGACGGGUAGCCGGCCUGAGAGGGUGGACGGUCACACUGGGACUGAGACGCGGCCCAGACUCCUACGGGGGGCAGCAGUGGGGAAUAUUGCACAAUGGGCGCAAGCCUGAUGCAGCGACGCCGGGUGAGGGAUGGAGGCCUUCGGGUUGUAAACCUCUUUCGCCGGUGAAGCAGGCCUGCCUCGUUUGUGGGUGGGUUGACGGUAGCUGGAUAAGAAGCGCCGGCUAACUACGUG